rnacentral:rRNA from 1 species
UACGGAGGAUGCGAGCGUUAUCCGGAUUUAUUGGGUUUAAAGGGUGCGCAGGCGGAAGAUCAAGUCAGCGGUAAAAUUGAGAGGCUCAACCUCUUCGAGCCGUUGAAACUGGUUUUCUUGAGUGAGCGAGAAGUAUGCGGAAUGCGUGGUGUAGCGGUGAAAUGCAUAGAUAUCACGCAGAACUCCGAUUGCGAAGGCAGCAUACCGGCGCUCAACUGACGCUCAUGCACGAAAGUGUGGGUAUC